UACGGGGGGGGCAAGCGUUGUUCGGAAUUACUGGGCGUAAAGGGCUUGUAGGUGGCCAACUAAGUCAGACGUGAAAUCCCUCAGCUUAACUGGGGAACUGCUUCUGAUACUGGAUGGCUUGAGUUUGGGAGAGGGAUGCGGAAUUCCAGGUGUAGCGGUGAAAUGCGUAGAUAUCUGGAGGAACACCGGUGGCGAAGGCGGCAUCCUGGACCAAUUCUGACGCUGAGGAGCGAAAGCCAGGGGAGCAAACGGG
rnacentral:rRNA from 1 species